AUGUUGAGGAGAACCUUGCAAUGCUCAACAAUUCCUGAGCAGCCUGCUGUAAAUCUUGUAGCCAGUUCAGCUCUCAGGAGCCAGAAGAGAUUUGUGGAGUUUGGCAACAGUGUUGUUCACAAGGAAGACUGCAGAAAGGAAACUCAACAUCACCGCUAUGAACAGCUCUUUAAAAAUGAAUGGCUAACUGAAAGAAGUCUUGCGCACUUGCAGUGCUGCAACGUUCUGCCAUCCAAAGGGGAAUUAAUCGCUGAGCGGCAUGAAGAGUGCACAGCACAGACAACAGGCAUGGCCCGGAGCUCAAGGGACUAA
rnacentral:lncRNA from 1 species